rnacentral:piRNA from 1 species
UUUUGAUUUCUGGUUGAGCUA